rnacentral:rRNA from 1 species
UAGGGAAUCUUCGGCAAUGGGGGGAACCCUGACCGAGCAACGCCGCGUGAGUGAAGAAAGUUUUCGGAUCGUAAAGCUCUGUUGUUAAGGAAGAACGAGUGUGAGAAUGGAAAGUUCAUACUGUGACGGUACUUAACCAGAAAGGGACGGCUAACUACGUGCCAGCAGCCGCGGUAAUACGUAGGUCCCGAGCGUUGUCCGGAUUUAUUGGGCGUAAAGCGAGCGCAGGCGGUUAGAUAAGUCUGAAGUUAAAGGCAGUGGCUCAACCAUUGUAGGCUUUGGAAACUGUUUAACUUGAGUGCAGAAGGGGAGAGUGGAAUUCCAUGUGUAGCGGUGAAAUGCGUAGAUAUAUGGAGGAACACCGGUGGCGAAAGCGGCUCUCUGGUCUGUAACUGACGCUGAGGCUCGAAAGCGUGGGGAGCGAACAGG